AUAGCCAGAUGCUAGUCCAUUUAUAUAUGACAUGGUUUACUUAGCGGUUCACGAAGUUUCUUUUUUAAAUAAUGCAAUGAUGAACAUCUUUUAUGCACACUUGUUUUCUUCAUGUCUGAUCAUUUCCUCAGGCUCUCUAGAACUGCUGUGGUCUGCUUUCAAGUUCUGAGCCUAGCUGCGUGCCGGAAUCACACCAUCUGAGGCUUAAUGAAUCAGCAUCUCCAAGAUUGGCGAAAGUGCUGCUAUCAAAGACAGGUAGAAUGGCUCCUGUCUCUUGCUGCUUUCCUGGCACUUGAGCUAUGCAGUGAUAAUACAAGUGGAAAGAACUCAACAGAAGACAGGGCUGCCAGAUAGAAGAUACCAGGCCGGGUGCAGUGGCUCACACCUGUGAUCCCAGCAAUUUGGGAAGCCAAGUCAGGUG